rnacentral:rRNA from 1 species
UUAAGCGACUAAGCGUACACGGUGGAUGCCCUGGCAGUCAGAGGCGAUGAAGGGCGUGCUAAUCUGCGAUAAGCGCCGGUAAGGUGAUAUGAACCGUUAUAACCGGCGAUACCCGAAUGGGGAAACCCAGUGUGACUCGUCACACUAUCAUUAACUGAAUCCAUAGGUUAAUGAGGCGAACCGGGGGAACUGAAACAUCUAAGUACCCCGAGGAAAAGAAAUCAACCGAGAUUCCCCCAGUAGCGGCGAGCGAACGGGGAGGAGCCCAGAGCCUGAAUCAGCAUGUGUGUUAGUGGAAGCGUCUGGAAAGGCGCGCGAUACAGGGUGACAGCCCCGUACACAAAAGCGCAUGUGCUGUGAGCUCGAUGAGUAGGGCGGGACACGUGGUAUCCUGUCUGAAUAUGGGGGGACCAUCCUCCAAGGCUAAAUACUCCUGACUGACCGAUAGUGAACCAGUACCGUGAGGGAAAGGCGAAAAGAACCCCGGCGAGGGGAGUGAAAAAGAACCUGAAACCGUGUACGUACAAGCAGUGGGAGCACCCUUUGGGGUGUGACUGCGUACCUUUUGUAUAAUGGGUCAGCGACUUAUAUUCUGUAGCAAGGUUAACCGAAUAGGGGAGCCGGAGGGAAACCGAGUCUUAACCGGGCGUUAAGUUGCAGGGUAUAGACCCGAAACCCGGUGAUCUAGCCAUGGGCAGGUUGAAGGUUGGGUAACACUAACUGGAGGACCGAACCGACUAAUGUUGAAAAAUUAGCGGAUGACCUGUGGCUGGGGGUGAAAGGCCAAUCAAACCGGGAGAUAGCUGGUUCUCCCCGAAAGCUAUUUAGGUAGCGCCUCGUGAAUUCAUCUCCGGGGGUAGAGCACUGUUUCGGCUAGGGGGCCAUCCCGGCUUACCAACCCGAUGCAAACUGCGAAUACCGGAGAAUGUUAUCACGGGAGACACACGGCGGGUGCUAACGUCCGUCGUGAAGAGGGAAACAACCCAGACCGCCAGCUAAGGUCCCAAAGUCAUGGUUAAGUGGGAAACGAUGUGGGAAGGCCCAGACAGCCAGGAUGUUGGCUUAGAAGCAGCCAUCAUUUAAAGAAAGCGUAAUAGCUCACUGGUCGAGUCGGCCUGCGCGGAAGAUGUAACGGGGCUAAACCAUGCACCGAAGCUGCGGCAGCGACACUGUGUGUUGUUGGGUAGGGGAGCGUUCUGUAAGCCUGUGAAGGUGUGUCGUGAGGCAUGCUGGAGGUAUCAGAAGUGCGAAUGCUGACAUAAGUAACGAUAAAGCGGGUGAAAAGCCCGCUCGCCGGAAGACCAAGGGUUCCUGUCCAACGUUAAUCGGGGCAGGGUGAGUCGACCCCUAAGGCGAGGCCGAAAGGCGUAGUCGAUGGGAAACGGGUUAAUAUUCCCGUACUUGGUGUUACUGCGAAGGGGGGACGGAGAAGGCUAUGUUGGCCGGGCGACGGUUGUCCCGGUUUAAGCGUGUAGGUGUGUGUUCCAGGUAAAUCCGGUUCACUUUAACACUGAGGCGUGACGACGAGGCACUACGGUGCUGAAGCAACAAAUGCCCUGCUUCCAGGAAAAGCCUCUAAGCAUCAGGUAACAUCAAAUCGUACCCCAAACCGACACAGGUGGUCAGGUAGAGAAUACCAAGGCGCUUGAGAGAACUCGGGUGAAGGAACUAGGCAAAAUGGUGCCGUAACUUCGGGAGAAGGCACGCUGACACGUAGGUGAAGUGAUUUACUCAUGGAGCUGAAGUCAGUCGAAGAUACCAGCUGGCUGCAACUGUUUAUUAAAAACACAGCACUGUGCAAACACGAAAGUGGACGUAUACGGUGUGACGCCUGCCCGGUGCCGGAAGGUUAAUUGAUGGGGUCAGCGCAAGCGAAGCUCCUGAUCGAAGCCCCGGUAAACGGCGGCCGUAACUAUAACGGUCCUAAGGUAGCGAAAUUCCUUGUCGGGUAAGUUCCGACCUGCACGAAUGGCGUAAUGAUGGCCAGGCUGUCUCCACCCGAGACUCAGUGAAAUUGAACUCGCUGUGAAGAUGCAGUGUACCCGCGGCAAGACGGAAAGACCCCGUGAACCUUUACUAUAGCUUGACACUGAACAUUGAGCCUUGAUGUGUAGGAUAGGUGGGAGGCUUUGAAGUGUGGACGCCAGUCUGCAUGGAGCCGACCUUGAAAUACCACCCUUUAAUGUUUGAUGUUCUAACGUGGACCCGUUACCCGGGUUGCGGACAGUGUCUGGUGGGUAGUUUGACUGGGGCGGUCUCCUCCUAAAGAGUAACGGAGGAGCACGAAGGUUGGCUAAUCCUGGUCGGACAUCAGGAGGUUAGUGCAAUGGCAUAAGCCAGCUUGACUGCGAGCGUGACGGCGCGAGCAGGUGCGAAAGCAGGUCAUAGUGAUCCGGUGGUUCUGAAUGGAAGGGCCAUCGCUCAACGGAUAAAAGGUACUCCGGGGAUAACAGGCUGAUACCGCCCAAGAGUUCAUAUCGACGGCGGUGUUUGGCACCUCGAUGUCGGCUCAUCACAUCCUGGGGCUGAAGUAGGUCCCAAGGGUAUGGCUGUUCGCCAUUUAAAGUGGUACGCGAGCUGGGUUUAGAACGUCGUGAGACAGUUCGGUCCCUAUCUGCCGUGGGCGCUGGAGAACUGAGGGGGGCUGCUCCUAGUACGAGAGGACCGGAGUGGACGCAUCACUGGUGUUCGGGUUGUCAUGCCAAUGGCACUGCCCGGUAGCUAAAUGCGGAAGAGAUAAGUGCUGAAAGCAUCUAAGCACGAAACUUGCCCCGAGAUGAGUUCUCCCUGAGACUUAGAGUCUCCUGAAGGAACGUUGAAGACGACGACGUUGAUAGGCCGGGUGUGUAAGCGCAGCGAUGCGUUGAGCUAACCGGUACUAAUGAACCGUGAGGCUUAACCUU